rnacentral:rRNA from 1 species
UACGUAGGGGGCGAGCGUUGUCCGGAUUUACUGGGCGUAAAGCGCGUGUAGGCGGCUGCUUAAGUCGGGUGUGAAAGCCCGGGGCUCAACCCCGGGAUGCCGCCCGAGACUGGGCGGCUUGAGGUCGGAAGAGGGGAGUGGAAUUCCAGGUGUAGCGGUGAAAUGCGUAGAGAUCUGGAGGAACACCCGUGGCGAAGGCGGCUCCCUGGUCCGGUACUGACGCUGAGGUGCGAAAGCGUGGGGAGCAAACAGG